rnacentral:lncRNA from 1 species
CGGCUCCAUCGUUACAUAAAGUUUUACUUAAUAUAUGCUAAAAAUAUCUUAUACGUAGAGAUCAAAAUUAAUCAUAUAAAGUAAUAGUUAGUUACCCGAUUUGAAGAAUGGGCUCGCAUUCCAAAGGGUGGAAGAAAGCAUGAUGAAAGUGCUGCUGUUGAUCAUGACGACCGUAGUCAACAUGAUCUUCUUGGAUCGGGUUGACACUACAAGAAAACAGCGGUAUUCUGACGGACGUUCCGACGGAAAAUGAAUUCCUCGGAAUAUACCGAGGAAUUUCCGAGGCAAUUCCGAGGAAACACAAAAUUUGGCUUCCUCGGAAUUUCCUCGGAAUAUUCCGACGGAAUUCCGAGGAAAAUUCAUCUCGUCGGAAUAUUCCGACGGAAUACCGAGGAAACUAGUAUUCCUCGGAAAAAACCGAUGAAUUCCGAGGAAAUAUUAUAGACGUUAGAGAGCCGUUGGAGAGCCGUUGGGGGAUUUUAAAAAUUCCGAGGAAAUUCCGACGAACUAGCCGUUUGCAUCGGAAUUCCGUCGGAAUUUCCUCGGACUGUCGGCAGGAUUUCAACUAUAAAUACAAGCACCCCUCUUCCUCUUCAUUCACUCCAUAUCUUCAUCCUCCCUCUCACUUUCUUUACACACGAAUUUGAUUCAUAAAAAACAUGUCUUCUUCAAAUUAUUUUCGUUCUUGGAUCGAUCGACCUCAUUUGGAUCCGAACACGAGAUUGCUUACGGAAGAAUACCAACAAGGUAUAACCGAAUUCAUGGGGUUAGUUCACCGACAACCGGAAGCAAAAACAGGUAUGUUAAGAUGUCCUUGCUCUAAUUGUAAAAAUAAAAAAGUUAUUAAACAAUGGGAUGUUUGGACUCAUCUAUAUUUGAGUGGGUUUACACGAAGUUACAAAAUUUGGUAUCAUCAUGGAGAAACUGAUUAUGAACAUGGUAGUACUAGCGAACCUCAGCCAGCGGUUAGAUUAGAAGAUCCAAUUAGAACGGAUGUAGAUUACGGUGUAGGUACUGAGCAGAUGGUAAAUGAUCAUUUUAGAGGGGAAGAUUUACCCAAUGCCGAAGCUAGGAGAUUUUAUGAUAUGUUGGAUGCUGGAAAGCAACCAUUGUACGAAGGUUGCAGAGAUGGUCAUUCAGCUUUAUCAUCUGCUACAAGAUUGAUGGGCAUUAAGACGGAUUAUAAUUUGGCUGAAGACUGUGUGGAUGCGAUUGCUGAUUAUGUAAAAGGUAUUCUACCCGAAGAUAAUGUAGCUCCUGGCUCAUACUACGAGGUUCAGAAACUCGUAGCUGGUCUUGGUUUAUCGUAUCAGGUAAUAGAUGUAUGCAGAGACAACUGCAUGAUUUAUUGGAGGGCGGAUGAACAGCGGGUUUCAUGCAAAUUUUGUGGGAAGCCUCGUUAUAAAGAUACGAGUGGAAGAGUUCCAGUACCAUAUAAAAGGAUGUGGUAUUUGCCUUUGACGGAAAGGUUGCAGAGGCUGUAUCUGUCUGAACGCACAGCGCAACCAAUGAGAUGGCAUGCGGAGCACUCAACAGAUGGUGAGAUCAGACAUCCUUCAGAUGCAAAAGCGUGGAAGCAUUUCCAAUCAAAGUAUCCCGACUUUGCGUAUGAGAGAAGAAAUGUCUACCUUGGAUUAUGUACUGAUGGUUUCAGCCCGUUUGGCAAGAGUGGAAGACAGUAUUCUCUAUGGCCAGUCAUUCUUACACCAUACAACCUACCCCCAAACUUGUGCUUGCGACGAGAGUUUUUGUUUCUCUCGAUUCUCGUUCCCGGACCAGAGCAUCCUAAGAGAUCACUUGAUGUGUUUCUUCAGCCACUAAUAUAUGAGUUGCAACAACUAUGGGCUCAAGGUGCUGAAACAUACGAUGUUUCGUGUAAAGAAAACUUUCAAAUGCGGGCAGUACUAAUGUGGACAAUAAGUGAUUUUCCAGCAUAUGGUAUGUUAUCUGGAUGGACAACGCAUGGAAGGCUAUCAUGUCCAUAUUGUCAAGAUAACACUGAUGCUUUCCAACUAAAACACGGAAGGAAAACGUGUUGGUUUGACUGUCACAGGAGAUUUCUACCACCAGAUCAUCCAUAUCGUAGAAGUAGGAAUUUGUUUACGAAGAACAAGAGGGUGUUUGACAGUCCACCUCCGGAAAUUCGUGGGAAAGAUUUGAAGACACAACUUAGAGAUUUUGGUGCAGAAAGGACGCCAGACGUCGGUGGACAUGAGCAUUUUCCGGUAGAUGGUGUUGGAAACCUACAUAACUGGCACAAAAAAAGUAUUUUUUGGGAUCUGCCAUACUGGGAGGAUCAUCUACUAAGGCAUAAUUUAGAUGUCAUGCAUAUCGAGAAGAACUUUUUUGACAAUCUCAUGAACACGAUCCUUAAUGUUCAAGGUAAAACAAAGGAUAAUUUGAAGUCAAGACUGGAUUUAGUCGAUAUAUGUGAUCGUUCAGAACUUCAUGUUGAUGAGAGUGGUAGGGCUCCUUUUCCCAUAUACCGACUUGAUGCAGCGGGAAAGGAUGCGUUCUUUGAUUGGAUUUCAAACGAUGUGGAAUUUCCAGACGGUUACGCAUCUAAUUUGCGUAACUGUAUCGACAGAAAGGAAGGAAAGUUUACUGGCUUGAAAAGCCAUGAUUGCCAUGUAAUGAUGCAGCGCCUCCUUCCGUUUGCCUUCAAGGAACUAUUACCACGAAAUGUUCAUGAAGCAAUUGCAGGGAUAAGUGGUUUCUUCCGCGAUUUAUGCACAAGAUCAGUGACUCUUGAAGGUAUUGAAAAUUUGAAGACUAACAUAGCUGUGAUUCAGUGCAACCUUGAGAAGAUAUUUCCUCCCUCAUUUUUUGAUGUUAUGGAGCAUCUUGUUAUUCACCUGGUAAGAGAAUUGGAACUUGGUGGUCCUGUGCAGUAUAGAUGGAUGUAUCUGUAUGAGCGGUAUAUGUUCCAUUUGAAGAAGAUGGUGAAAAAUUUAAGUAGGGUGGAAGGGUCUAUAGUCGCACAGAUGAUCAAUGAAGAAACUUCAAACUUUGCCGAGUACUACUUUCCAGCAGAAGUUCAGACCAAAAACAGAAGACCUGCUCGGCAUGAUGAUAGAGGCGAACGGGCAACAUAUCAUUGGAAGGUUCCAGACAUUUUCACAGACGUUGGACGACUUAGCGGAAAACCAAAGGACCGUCGACUUACUGAUCAGGAGCGCAGUCAUUUGCAAACAUAUUUACUCACCAACUGCGAAGAUGUUCUUCAAUAUGAAAGGAUUUUCAUGGCAGAAAAGCGGUUAGAAUAUAGAUACGCCACAGAGGACGAACUAGAAGAAAUGAAGCAGAGAGAAUUUGGUGGAUGGAUGUUUACUUAUGUGAGUGAUGGUUUGGCCAGAGGUGAAACAUUUGACGAUUGGAUACGCGAGAUGGUCGUUGGACCAAACUUUGUUGUGAAGUCAUAUCCGAGAUUUUGUACUCGAGGAUAUGCAUUCACAACUCAGAAGAGGAGACGUUCGAGUACGACUUACGAUGCUGGUGUUUGUUCUGCAUCAGGAGAUGAUGUAUACUACGGACACAUAAAUGAGAUUUUGGAAAUCAAGUAUUUGGGCAUGGUUGGAUUGCGCUGUACUGUUUUCUAUUGUGACUGGCACGACAACACUCCAGAUCGAGGUGUGAGAACAGAUGCAUUUGGUGUUACAUCAGUAAAUUCAAGACGGAAGCUGCAAUAUUAUGAUCCUUUCAUUCUUGCUUCUCAGGCCGAUCAGGUUUGUUAUAUCAAGUACCCCCGGGUAAGGAACAGAGAUGAUCCAUGGGUUACUGUUACAAGACUCAACCCGAGAGGCCGAGUUCAGGGAAGUUCUGAGCUGGAAGACCCACUACAACCAAGCACAUCCGGCAACUUAAGUGCAGCAGAAGAUUUAGGUGGAGUUGGCCUUGUAGUCGAUUUAACCGACUUCGGAGAAGAAGCCGCCGUUCACGUAGAGGAUGAACCAGUGAUUGGAGAGUUUCACCAAGAUCCAGAUUCAGAUUCAUCUGGUGAUGACGACUCGGAAACAGACUAGCGUCGACCUUUUUUUUUUUUUUUUUUUAAAGGAAAUUCCGAGGAAAUUCCGAGGACAAAUAGGUUUUCCUCGGAAUUUCCUCGGAAUAGAUCUUCUCGAUUGAAAACCCAAAGUUCCUCGGAAUUUCCUCGGAAUUUUCCGAGGGAAUUCCGAGGAACUCUUUAUGUUCGUCGGAAUUUCCUCGGAAAAUUCCGAGGAAAUUCCGAGGAAUUGGGGAUUUGAUUAUAGAUUCUUUUUCCUCGGAAUCUCCUCGGUAUAUUCCGAGGAAAUGCCGACGAACAUAAGGAUCUCCUCGGAAUCUCCUCGGUAUAUUCCGAGGAAAUUCCGAGGAACUUGGGGUUUUAAAUUGAAAACAACGUUUUACGGAUUGAAUAACACGUAUAUAACCUUCAUUAAGUGUCAUAACCAGAUUAUGAUGUUUGGAACUAUGAACUUUGGUGUUUUAUCCAAUAACAAACACUUUUUACGAUUACAUGAACGAAAACCACACAACAUAAGAGAAACACUUAUACACUUUAAUAAACGGUAAAGGGAAUACUUACAAUUAUUUUUGAAAUUGUGUUAUUUCAUGGUUUAUGAUCAUCUAUACAAAGAAUCCUCAAUGGUAUGCAUUAUAAUUGUAUAAGAAAUGAAAUACGGCGAAAAUAAUCGAUGUUUUAAAACCCCAAACCCUGGUUCCUCAGAAAUUCCUCGGAGAUUACCGAGGGUAUUCCGAGGAAUCCUUGUUCGUCGGAAUAUUUUCAUUUAACCGGGUUAACCUAGCCGCCAAAUAUUUCGGGAAAAUUGAAUCAAAGAAUUCCGAGGAAAUUCCGACGGAAAUAUAAAAUAUUUCCGAGGAAAUUCCGACGGAUAGUUUCCGUCGGACCCCUCAUAAUAUUAGGGCGAGCCCGAUCUUCUUCCCCAUUUCUCUCUUUCUCUCCGCGCCGCACAGCCUCUCCUCUCGCGAUUUCCGGCGACUCCACCGUUCUCUCUCGCGUUUUUCCGGCGAAUCUCCCCUAAUCCUCCCCCAUAAUCAUGUAAGAACCCUAUCCCACUCUUUUAGGUUAGAUUUGUAUGGUUUUUAAGUAGAUUUGAUGAUUUUGGAAUGAGAUUUAUAGAUUUUGUUAGGGUGAAUGGUAGAUUUGUGUAAAAUCGAGUUUGAUUAUGUAUUUCACUUGAUUUGAAUUUUUUUUUAGUUUUUAUUAAUUUUGUGGUUAUAAAAAUCGAAUUUGAAAUUAUAUAUAUAUAUUGAAAACGUUUUUUGUAUAUAAAAUCUAUUUUUUGCAUUUUAAAUUCAUUUAUAUAUUAUUAAACAUUUUUAAAAUCUAUAAAACUUUUUUUAAGAUUAAAAAUCAUUUAUAUAAUAUUUAAAAACAUUUUUUUUGUGGUUAUAAAACGUUUUAUGUAUUUUAUAUGUAAAAUAUAAAUUUCUAUAUUUAUUAAACAUUUUUAAUAUUAUGAAAACUAUUUUUGUAAUUAUUUAACAUUUUAAACAUUUUUAAAAAUUUUUCGUUAUUAUUAUGUUUUUGGGAUUUAUUUAAACUAUUUUUAAAAUUUUUAAACUAUUUUUUAUUUAUUAAAACUUUUUUAUUAAUUAUUAAACUAUUUAUAUUUUGUGAUUAAAAACUAUAAUUUUCUAUGUUUUUUUUUUUUAAUUUACAGGUCUAAUGAUGAUCAGAUCCGGCCUCGCCAGCGUCGUAGCCGGGGUGGUAUGGGGAGCCAGUCUCGGGGUUCUUCCAGCCAUGUUCAGGAUUCCGUUUCGCCCCACAGCUCAUACCAUACAUCUCCCUCUCCAUUACUCGCUCCUGCUGCUCCCGCUCCCGCUGCUGCACCCGCUCCUGGUCCCGCUGCUGCACCCGGUCCUCCGGGAGUGAUGAGCGUUGCGGAGUUGGUUCGACAGCCCGGUCGUGACCAUCUUCCCUAUCUCACUGAGUAUCCACAUGGACAUGGUCAAACAUGGUAAUUUAAACUUUUAUUUUUUAUCCUUAAAAUUUGAUUGAUUAUUAAUAAUUUGUUCUUUUUAUUAGGUUCAACCGAUCCGGGAACGGGAUCAGCGCAUGGAUCAACCGUAUGAUGUACUCUGCCCUCGACAAGGGACAUCCGACUUUCACUCACUUUCCCGUCGAGAAGCAGCAUCUGUGGUUUCGUCAGUUUGCGGUAAGUAUUCAAAUUUUUACUUAUAUUUUUUAUUUAUUAAAACUAUUUUUUGAUUAUUAAACUAUUUUCUAUAUUUAUUAAACAUUUUAAAUAUUUUAAAAACUAUUUUUUUAAUUAUUAAACUAUUUUUUAUUUAUUAAAACUUUUUUUUGGUAAUUAUUAAACUAUUUUCUAUAUUUAUUAAACUAUUUUUUAUUUAUUAAAACUAUUUGUAAUUAUUAAACUAUUUAUAUUUUGUGCUUAAAAACUAUUUUUAAACUAUUUCAGCAAGAAUUCAACUGGAAUUCCGAUGAUACGCUCUCUAUCUAUAACCAUUUUGUCCAUAAAGUUAUGGACAACUAUGGGAAGCAGAUGUACGAGUGGAAGAAGAAGUGGGAAGCAAACAAGGUAGUUUUUAAUUUAUUAACAAUUUUUAAUUUAUUAAACUAUUUUUUAAAUUAUUAAACUUUUUUUUUUUAAAUUAAAAGGUCCCAAAGUCGAUGAACGACACGGUAUGGAAGGAGUUGUGUGAGCAUUGGGAUAAGGAAGAGACGAAAGAAACUUCUUCCACCAACUCCAACAACCGCAGGAGCGACCGUAAAGGGAAGGGCAUCUACAAGCAUAACUUGGGUGCCCAAUCUAUUGCCACUCUCGCGGAUCGCAUGGUAAGUUCAACCGCUUUUUCUUUAAUUAUUUAAGUUUCAGAAUUUUAUUUUUAUGCAUUUUUUCAAAUUUCUAAUGUUUGUUUAAUUUAUUUUUUUUCAAGGCGGAAGAAAAUGAGGGCGAGCCGGUUGAUGAUCUCGCCCUAAUGAAAAGGGCGUAUACCAACAAGAAGACCGGUCAGAUUGAUGAUGGUCUUGUGAGGGACGUGGUCGACCUGGUCCAAACUCAGGUGUACGACGAAGUGUCUCAGCUUCAAACCGAUGAUGACGAUUCGACGGCUUCGACCAACUUGUCCCGGGUUCGAAUCAACGAAAUCGUUGAAUCGGUAAGUUUUUUUUUUAAAAGUUCAAUUUAUUUAUUUCUUGAUUUUUAUUUUAUCAUCAAUUUAUAUUAUCUAAAUUUGGUUUUUUAUAUUUCAGUCGGUUCCAAAGAAGAAGGGACGUAUGGUCGGUUUGGGUCGUCGCUCCCGGUCGGCUGCUCCUUCUUCUGCACCACCGCCAUAUGUUGAUCCGGAAGUUCUUACGGCUCAGCUGAAGGACAAGGAUGAUCGGAUAUCUGCGUUGGAGACCCAGAUGGCAGCUCAACAGGCGGGCUAUGAGACCCAGAAGAGGCUCAACGAGCAGAUGAUGGAGAUGAUGAAGAGGAUGUACCCGAACGAGGUGUUCCCGAACAUCCAAGACCCGUAGUUUUUUUUUUUAAUUUUUAUUCAAUUUUAAUUUUAAUUUUAAAUUUUAAAAUUAAAUUUAAAAAAUUUAAAUUUUUUUUAAAAAAAAUAAAUUUUUUCGAAAUUCCGAGGGAAUGUAGUUCCUCGGAAAAUUCCGAGGAACUUUCUUCCCUCGGAAUAUUCCGAGGAACAUAAUUCCCUCGGAAUUUUCCGAGGGAAUGGAAUCCUCGGAAAAUUCCGAGGGAGUUUUGUCCCUCGGAAUUUUCCGAGGAACUCCAUUCCCUCGGAAUAUUCCGAGGGAAAAUAUGUUCCUCGGAAUUUUCCGAGGAACAUAUGUUCCUCGGAAUUUUCCGAUAAACAUUCCGAGGAAUGUUUUGUCGAAACUUCCGAGGAUUUGACCAUCGGAAUUCCAUCGGUUUAUUCCGAGGAACCAUCCGACGAACAUAUGUUUCUCGGAGUUUCCUCGGAAUUUUGUUUCCUCGGAAUUCCGUCGGAAAUUUCCGACGGAAUUCCGAGGAAGUAUGAAUUUCCGAGGAGAUAUUUCCGAGGACUUUUUUCGUCGGUAUGUCGUCGGAAUAGCGUUAUUCCGACGACAUACCGACGAUUUUUUCCCUCAGUAUCCCGAUGUUUUCUUGUAGUGUGAGUUGAGUGGCAUCUGAUAUCCAUCAGCUAACUGUCACGAGCACGUACUUGUUAGUGGAUGAAUUAAUACUUCAGUAAUAAUAACCAUGCGUUCCUGAUCUAAAUAUUCAUAUAUAGAGCUAGUAUGUUUGUGUAUAUAUGUUAUUUGCUUCAGCAUUCAAUUUUUUUUAUGUUACCU